UACAGAGGGUGCGAGCGUUGUCCGGAUUUAUUGGGCGUAAAGAGCUCGUAGGCGGCUUGUCGCGUCGUCCGUGAAAACCUGCGGCUCAACUGCAGGCUUGCGGUCGAUACGGGCAGGCUGGAGUUCGGUAGGGGAGACUGGAAUCCCUGGUGUAGCGGUGAAAUGCGCAGAUAUCAGGAGGAACACCGGUGGCGAAGGCGGGUCUCUGGGCCGAUACUGACGCUGAGGAGCGAAAGCGUGGGGAGCGAACAGG
rnacentral:rRNA from 1 species